GACGAACGCUGGCGGCGUGCUUAACACAUGCAAGUCGAGCGGAAAGGCCACUUCGGUGGUACUCGGGCGGCGAACGGGUGAGUAACACGUGAGUAAUCUGCCCUUGGCUUCGGGAUAGCCACCGGAAACGGUGAUUAAUACCGGAUAUGACCACUCUAGGCAUCCAGUGGUGGUGGAAAGUUUUUCGGCCAGGGAUGUGCUCGCGGCCUAUCAGCUUGAUGGUGAGGUAACGGCUCACCAUGGCUUCGACGGGUAGCCGGCCUGAGAGGGUGACCGGUCACACUGGGACUGAGACACGGCCCAGACUCCUACGGGAGGCAGCAGUGGGGAAUAUUGGACAAUGGGCGGAAGCCUGAUCCAGCAACGCCGCGUGAGGGAUGACGGCCUUCGGGUUGUAAACCUCUUUCAGCAGGGACGAAGCGCGAGUGACGGUACCUGCAGAAGAAGCACCGGCCAACUACGUGCCAGCCGCCGCAGUAA
rnacentral:rRNA from 1 species